GACGAACGCUGGCGGCGUGCCUAACACAUGCAAGUCGAACGGUGAAGCGCCUUCCUUUUUGGUGGGUGUGGAUGAGUGGCGAACGGGUGAGUAACACGUGAGUAACCUGCCCCCUUCUUCUGGAUAACCGCAUGAAAGUGUGGCUAAUACGGGAUAUUCUGGGUCUGUCGCAUGAUGGGUCUGGGAAAGAUAUUGUUUCGGUGGGGGAUGGGCUCGCGGCCUAUCAGCUUGUUGGUGGGGUGAUGGCCUACCAAGGCGGUGACGGGUAGCCGGCCUGAGAGGGUGGACGGUCACACUGGGACUGAGACACGGCCCAGACUCCUACGGGAGGCAGCAGUGGGGAAUAUUGCACAAUGGGCGCAAGCCUGAUGCAGCGACGCCGCGUGAGGGAUGGAGGCCUUCGGGUUGUGGACCUCUUUCGCCAGUGAAGCAGGCCUGCCUCGUUUGUGGGUGGGUUGACGGUAGCUAGAUAAGAAGCGCCGGCUAACUACGUG
rnacentral:rRNA from 1 species